AUUGAACGCUGGCGGCAUGCUUUACACAUGCAAGUCGAACGGUAACAGGCCGCAAGGUGCGGACGAGUGGCGAACGGGUGAGUAAUGCAUCGGAACGUGCCCAGCCGUGGGGGAUAACUACUCGAAAGAGUAGCUAAUAUCGUAUACGAUCUAUGGAUGAAAGUGGGGGACCGGAAGGCCUCGCGCGAUCGGAGCGGCCGAUGCCGGAUUAGGUGGAUGGUGGGGGAAAGGUGGAGCUGGCCAACGAUCUGUAGAUGGUCUGAGAGGACGACAGGGCACACUGGGAGGGGGACACGGCCCAGGCUCCUGCGGGAAGGACCAGUGGGGAAUUUUGGGCAAUGGGCGGGAACCUUGUCCAACAGUGCCAAGUGCAGGAAGCAGGCCUUCGGGUUGUAAGCUGCUUUUGUACGGAACGAAACGGCUCUGGUUAAUACCCGGGGCUAAUGACGGUACCGUAAGAAUAAGCACCGGCUAACUACGUG
rnacentral:rRNA from 1 species